UACGUAGGUGACAAGCGUUGUCCGGAUUUACUGGGCGUAAAGAGCGCGCAGGCGGUCGAUCAAGUCGAGUGUGAAAGCCCCCGGCUCAACUGGGGAGGGUCAUUCGAUACUGAUCGACUCGAAGGCAGGAGAGGGUAGUGGAAUUCCCGGUGUAGUGGUGAAAUGCGUAGAUAUCGGGAGGAACACCAGUGGCGAAGGCGACUUCCCGGCCUGUUCUUGACGCUGAGGCGCGAAAGCUAGGGGAGCAAACGGG
rnacentral:rRNA from 1 species